rnacentral:misc_RNA from 1 species
AAGUCGUAACAAGGUUUCCGUAGGUGAACCUGCGGAAGGAUCAUUACCAAAUCCAAAUCUCAACCCCAUGUGAACUGUUGUUUGUCUGUCUUUGGGGGUGGCGUUCUCGAGAGGAAAAGGAAGUGAGAGCUCCGCGCUUGACCUUUUUUUUCCUUCCCCCCGCUGCCCCCAAAAGAAUCCGGCACUCCGGUGCUUGGGUUCUGUUGACUAAACCACUUUUCAAACUCUGUUGGAAUAUCUUUUAUUAAUACUAAUAAAGGACAACUCUUAACAGUGGAUCUCUUGGCUCGUG